rnacentral:rRNA from 1 species
AGAGUUUGAUCCUGGCUCAGAACGAACGCUGGCGGCGUGCUUAACACAUGCAAGUCGAGCGCGAAAGUCACCUUCGGGUGGCGAGUAGAGCGGCGAACGGGUGAGUAACACGUGAGUAACCUGCCUUUGGGUUGGGGAUAACUGCUCGAAAGGGUAGCUAAUACCGAAUGUGACAUAUUUGACGCAGGUCGAAUAUGAGAAAGGGGGCUUUCGGGCUCUCGCCCAUAGAUGGGCUCGCGGUCCAUUAGUUAGUUGGUGAGGUAACGGCUCACCAAGACCGAGAUGGAUAGCUGGUCUGAGAGGAUGAUCAGCCACACUGGGACUGAGAUACGGCCCAGACUCCUACGGGAGGCAGCAGUGGGGAAUAUUGCGCAAUGGGGGAAACCCUGACGCAGCAACGCCGCGUGAGUGACGAAGGCCCUUGGGUCGUAAAGCUCUGUCGGGAGGGAAGAAUUGUGGUGUGGUUAAUACCCAUGUCAUUUGACGGUACCUCCAAAGGAAGCACCGGCUAACUCCGUGCCAGCAGCCGCGGUAAUACGGAGGGUGCGAGCGUUGUUCGGAAUUAUUGGGCGUAAAGCGUGCGUAGGCUGCCAUGUAAGUCGGGUGUGAAAGCCCAGGGCUCAACCCUGGAACUGCGCCCGAAACUACAUGGCUUGAGUCCGGGAGAGGGUUGCGGAAUUGUCGGUGUAGAGGUGAAAUUCGUAGAUAUCGGCAAGAACAUCUGUGGCGAAGGCGGCAACCUGGAUCGAGACUGACGCUNAGGUACGAAAGCGUGGGGAGCAAACAGGAUUAGAUACCCUGGUAGUCCACGCCGUAAACGAUGUCAACUAGGUGUUGGGGGGUUUAACCCCUUGGUACCGCAGCUAACGCGAUAAGUUGACCGCCUGGGGAGUACGGUCGCAAGAUUAAAACUCAAAGGAAUUGACGG